rnacentral:rRNA from 1 species
UGAUUAAGCCAUGCAAGUCGAGAGGUGUAAGACCUCGGCGUACUGCUCAGUAACACGUGGACAAUCUGCCCUGAAGUGGAGGAUAAUCCCGGGAAACUGGGGGUAAUACUCCAUAGUUCGUGCUGACUGGAAUGUUAUGCGAACGAAAGAUCCGUCGCUUCAGGAUGAGUCUGCGGCCGAUUAGGUAGUUGUUGGGGUAACGGCCCAACAAGCCUGUCAUCGGUACGGGUUGUGGGAGCAAGAGCCCGGAGAUGGAUUCUGAGACACGAAUCCAGGCCCUACGGGGCGCAGCAGGCGCGAAAACUUUACCAUGCGGGCAACCGUGAUAAGGAAACCCCGAGUGCCAGCACAGGCUGGCUGUCCGCCAGUGUAAAUAACUGGUGAAGAAAGGGCCGGGCAAGACCGGUGCCAGCCGCCGCGGUAAUACCGGCGGCUCGAGUGGUGGCCACUAUUACUGGGCUUAAAGGGUCCGUAGCUUGAUAUGCAAGUCUCUUGAGAAAUCCGCCAGCUUAACUGGUGGGCGUUCAGGGGAAACUGCAUUUCUAGGGACCGGGAGAGGUGAGAGGUACUGCCGGGGUAGGAGUGAAAUCCUGUAAUCCCGGUGGGACCACCUAUGGCGAAGGCAUCUCACCAGAACGGGUCCGACAGUGAGGGACGAAAGCUGGGGGAGCAAACCGGAUUAGAUACCCGGGUAGUCCCAGCUGUAAACGAUGCGCGUUAGGUGUGUCAGUGACCACGUGUCACUGAGGUGCCGAAGGGAAACCGUGAAACGCGCCGCCUGGGGAGUACGGUCGCAAGGCUGAAACUUAAAGGAAUUGGCGGGGGAGCA